UACAGAGGGUGCAAACGUUGUUCGGAAUUACUGGGCGUAAAGCGCGUGUAGGCGGUCUUACAAGUCGGGUGUGAAACCCCUGGGCUCAACCCGGGAAGUGCAUUCGAUACUGUCGGACUGGAGUCCCGGAGAGGAUGGUGGAACUCUCGGUGUAGAGGUGAAAUUCGUAGAUAUCGGGAAGAACAUCGGUGGCGAAGGCGGCCAUCUGGACGGUGACUGACGCUGAGACGCGAAAGCGUGGGGAGCAAACAGG
rnacentral:rRNA from 1 species